rnacentral:tRNA from 1 species
GUCCAGGGGCGGAAAUCGAACCCACAUGCUUACCGGGCAGGUGCCAUGUCCACUAGGCUACCCUGGA